AACUGAUACUACCUGCGGGAACCUGCGGAAGGAUCAUUACAUGGCGGAGGAGGUGGGCACCUAGUAAAACAAAACCCUAGGUGUGUUGCCUACCACGCUUUCUACCCUUGUCUAUUUGCACCUUUUGUCGUUCCCUCGGUGGGUCUUGAACCUGCCGGCGGCAACUUUCAAAAACCUUUUGUAGUUAGUAUCUAAUUCUUCUGAUCAAAUAUUCAAUCGUUACAACUUUUAGCAAUGGAU
rnacentral:misc_RNA from 1 species